rnacentral:rRNA from 1 species
AUUGAACGCUGGCGGCAGGCCUAACACAUGCAAGUCGAGCGGAUGAAGGGAGCUUGCUCCUGGAUUCAGCGGCGGACGGGUGAGUAAUGCCUAGGAAUCUGCCUGGUAGUGGGGGAUAACGUCCGGAAACGGGCGCUAAUACCGCAUACGCCCUGAGGGAGAAAGUGGGGGAUCUUCGGACCUCACGCUAUCAGAUGAGCCUAGGUCGGAUUAGCUAGUUGGUGGGGUAAAGGCCUACCAAGGCGACGAUCCGUAACUGGUCUGAGAGGAUGAUCAGUCACACUGGAACUGAGACACGGUCCAGACUCCUACGGGAGGCAGCAGUGGGGAAUAUUGGGCAAUGGGCGAAAGCCUGAUCCAGCCAUGCCGCGUGUGUGAAGAAGGUCUUCGGAUUGUAAAGCACUUUAAGUUGGGAGGAAGGGCAGUAAGUUAAUACCUUGCUGUUUUGACGUUACCAACAGAAUAAGCACCGGCUAACUUCGUG